ensembl:lncRNA
UGGAGUGGGUUGCCAUUCCCUUCUCCAGGGGAUCUUCCCUACCCAGGGAUGGAACCCGCAUCUCUUCCAUCUCCUGCUUUGGCAGGUGGGUUCUUUACCACUAGCGACACCCUGGGGAGCCCAGGUGAUAUAGCCAACUUGAAUUGGGGUCCCUUCACUUACAACCAAGAGUUCUAACACGUUCAAGCAGAGACAACCUUAUCUUGCCUACAAUUCCCACAGCCUAUGUCUGUCAUAUAUCCCUUGAAAAGCCAGAUUUUCUAAAUUGAAAUCAUGAUCAAUGCUUUGACACAGAGUUUCUUUUCCUGACCUGCUGGAGUCCAGCUCCAGCACCGACUUGAAUGUUUCAUUACAGGAAAUUAGUGGUUUACUAAAAAGUCACCUUUAUGAAAGAACCACUGUUCCCUGAGCACACACACUGCAAACCCAGAGCAGCUCAGCACCCCUUGGCCACAGGCAUCGGCUCUCGCUACAUCCCCUUGAAGGGACCCGUGUGCCGGCCGAUUUUACCUUCCUGGCUUCAGGCAUUUCACUGGGGUCUGCAUCUGGCUGAUUUUUGUGUCCCCCAUGGUGACUUACAUGUAGUCCCCUAAAAGGCAGGUUUUUGGUGAAAGUAUUGAUAUGCAAUGUUGGUGGUGUUUUCUGGGAACUUCUCUUAAACCACGAAGUCCAAAGACAUCAGUAGAUUUUUUUUAAAUUGGCUUUUCUAGACCCUAGAAACACUGAAAAAUUGGUUAAAGGGGCACAGUUCAUGCUUCCCCAGCUGGCAGGAGCCUAAUGCACAGCUUAAGCAUCUGAUUUGGAGCCAACACCAUUAACCUCUAAUUAACUUCUAUCCUCCUAACACCCAUGAUGUUGUGAUGAUGCNNNNNNNNNNNNNNNNNNNNNAUAUCUAAUUAUUCAAUUAACGAAUAGCAAAUACCAGUGGAGAUGCAAGUUUGUGAAUGAUUAACAAGAUGACUCCAGUUUGACAGGCUAUGAGCUGCUUAGUGGCAAGAGAGAGGAUUUCUGGGGCUUUGAGUGGCCUUCAGGGGAGGGAAGGGUGCUUACCUGGCGUCCCCGGAGAUGGAGAUUUGAGGCCUGGAGACCCAGGCUGUUUGUGGGCUCAGAGCUUGCCCUGCCAGGCAGAGUGCUGCUGGAAGAUGGCAGGUGAGUGUGGGGACCCUUCCCACAUGAAACUUGCUCUGCUGGGAGAAGUGCUGAAAGGGUCUGCACCCAGAGAUGCAGGCAGUGGAGCAGCGGGGCUCUGCAUGUAUAGCCAAAAUCAGCAUCACUUUCGGGGGACAGUCACGUGGGAGUGAGGCAGAGAGAUUACAGGUGUGACAUAAAACCCGGAAAACAAAAGGCUAAGAUAAAUGGAAUGCCAAGCCUGCCCUGCUAAUUCCAGAAUGAAGCAAUAUCCACCUAUAGCGAGGCCUCAGCUGGAAAGACAGCAACAGGACCCCCAGCAAAGUGGAUUCGCAUGAGACACAGGAGAAGAUGCUCAAGGGGCUUCUGUACCCAUCCUGCCGCCUCUCCUGGCCUCAUUCCAGGGGGUAGACAGUGGGCACCGCCUCAGGAAACAGCAGCAGCUAUAGAACCACCAUCUUGUUUAGAGACGUUUUCCCGGCACAGCCUCACUUUCUACAUGUAAUCACUCGUCAAAAUCUCUACUGUCUUAACUUGCUCAGUAACAUCAAUAAUAAUCUUAAUAAAACUCAAAGAAAACAUUUAAAACACCUAGACCUUUUUGAUCUUAAGAAACCAAAAUAGUUUCCAUUUAUACAUGUGUUUCUGUUGCAGGAUUUUAUGAGAAUGAUAAUAAAGCAUGUUCAGGCAUAAAAUUCUAUAAUAUGAGGAUAAAAUUCUGGGAGUGGAAUGUAAUGAAAUUAUAUUUAAGGAGAAAAGAGGAAAGGGUAAAGUUUUUAACUCCUGGAGUAGAAAUUGCCUGUGUAGUAGUUAUCUUUUUCAUGUAUGUUUUUUAAUACUUAGUGUAUUUAUUCUCAAGUAUAAUCUUUUCUAAAAAAAUUAUUUAAUUAUUCUCUCUGUUAUUUUAUUUACUUUUAUAUUUUGGCCAUGCGGGAUCUUAGUUUGCAGAUCAGGGAUUGAAUUGGAGCCCCCUGCAUCAACAGGGCAGAGUUGUAGCCACCAGACCACCUGGGAAAUCCUGCUCAUGUAUGCUUUAUCUUUU